rnacentral:lncRNA from 1 species
CUCGAUGAAGAAAUGGACAAGGCACUAACAACAAAAGCGUUGUGCGUGGAUUGUAGUAUAACACAUGCCCAAGUCCAUGCUCUAGCCGGCAGCAACGGCUUUGAAAUGUCUUUGAUCAUCAUCGACGCCAAUCCAAACAGCUAAUCGAUCGGCUUCUGAAGAUGGAAAUUAAGUUCAGAGUUGUAGCAAACAAAGGUACAUCUUCUGUUGAUAUGCUUCAGAGUUUAGAUGCUUUACCUGCUUUUUUUUUGCGGGAAAUGCUUGACCUGCUUUAACUUUGAGUAAUUGUGUACUUGAUCAUCAAUUCAUCAUGUUUAUCUGCACCAAGCCAAACAACAUCUCCUGAAAAUCAAGUAUUCCUCUGAUCCUAAAUUCUUGUCUCAAGUUUGCCCAAAUAUGAAUGUAUUUAUUCUUAAAAAACGUCUAGAUACAUGUAAUAUUUCGACAACAGUUUAUGAUCGGAGAGUACAUUGCAACACUUCCGUUGGUCGGCUUCUGAAGAUUGGAAGUUCAGAGUUGGUCAAACAAAUGUACAUCUUCUGAAAAAACACUUCCGUGCUCCUUAAUUUGCUGCAUAAUUGUAAGUUCUGGAAUAUGCUUCGUGGAGCUCAAGGUUCUUCUCCGCUAGGAUUUAUUUUUGAAUUCCUUUUGGUUUUACAACCUGAAAAUGAACUUUUCAUGUGUACAUAUGUUUUGUUCUGUUUUCAUGUGCUUAUAUUAACAUGUUGUGUUUUUACUCGUAUUUUGUUUUUCUGUAGCGGCGCACGGGUUUCUAACUAGUUUCGGUAACGUAGGAGUACUUUACUUCAUGAUGUACUAAUAUAUAAGAGUGUAUAGCCCCUUAAUUAUGUACCUCCUGACAAACAACAAUGAUGUUAUACAUUCUCUCAAAGCCUUUCAUGCCAUAUAUCACCUCUUCUUCGAUCCCCAAUGGCUGUCAAGACCACGUUCUCUCUCACACUCACAUGGUAGUUGCUUGCUAGUACCAGUACCAAUACAUUUUAGCUCAUGAAAAUUUGCAGAUGCAUUUUUAGCUCAAAAUUUGCAGAUGCUUGGUCUAUUUCUAAUACUGUAUCUACAUAGGAUUUUUUGGAAAUUUUAAAAAUUUCUGGACCCACUCUUGGCUGACUAGCUAGCUUGUUUCCAUGGCCUAAAAGGGGAGUGAGGGUAGCAGCAGCGGGGGGCAGUAGCAGCACAGUGAGCGCUGCCACGCCAAUUAAAAGCAAAGGUAUAAAGGGAGCACAGUGGUUUGCAUGCAUUAGACCCCUGCACAGCCGCUGAAUAUUCCCCUGCCUCGGCCCCGCAAGCAUUAAACAACAGCCAGAGUUUGAAUGGUGGUGGAGGACAUGCAUCUGAGCGCCACUGCGCUGUGCAACCAGCCAGCCACACCCGCAUUUCUGUUGCCACUGUAGGAGUAACAAAGACCAACAACACACGGCCCAGAAUGCAUGCACAAGCAAGAGGGCAUACUAGGCACUGGCCGAUGCAUGCAGCACCAAGUCCAAGUGUGACCAAUCAGACCAGGCCCGGCCACUGCAUGCAUAUGGUGAGAGAGCCGAGGCAGCACAUGUAAAAUUGUAAGAAAUGCAUGCACCCACUUGCAGCCAGCAGAGAUGUCAUAGAUCGAUGCAAUCCCCUCAUCUCAUGCAUCUUGUUUGUUUGGUCCUCAGGCCGUGGUGGUGGUGGUACCACCACACAUAAAUCCUCCUCUCCUAUCUUCUUCCUGCUGUGCUGGCUUACGAGAAGAAUGUCUCUAAUAAUGCUAGUAAUUGAUGGGUAUGCAAACAGAAGCUUUAACCACGCCUGUGCAGUGUGCACACCUGAGCCUACAUUUGGAUUUGGGAUGUGUGUAUAUUGGGCGUGCUUGUGGGGGAAGAGAAUUUGGCAGAUACGAAAGAGUAAUAUGAAAGAAGAGCCUGCCGUUAGGAGCAAGUUCAGUUACCUGAACGAUGUGCAUUGCAAAACUUUGGGUACUGUAUUUUUCAGUCCAAACACUGGUUGCAGACUUGCAGUGGACACAACGGCGCACAAAAGGUGGUCUAUUUGUUAUACAUAAUGAUGAAAAGAUGGUCUAGUUAGUGACUGGAUUAAAACAGAGAGACAAUGCAUUUUUGACGGGGAAAACAGAGAGACAAUGUAAAACAGAGUACGCUUUUAUAUAUAUUCCCAUCGAGUAGCAGGGAAAGCAAUAUAAUACCGAGGAUAGAGACAGGCAGACAACAUGGAAGCAUAAACAGAAACAGUACAUGCAUUACAAAGUGUAACCGAUGCAUUCCAGGCUCAAGACUUUCUCCAACCCCUGAUACUGUUUUGCUGAACAAGACCUUGCUUUAAGGUGCCUAACAUCACAUAACAAGUGAUCCACGCCAAGAAUGCGUCACUUACAGCUCCCAAUACACACAAAAAAAGAGAGGAAGAAGAAACAGAAACGCAAUAAGAAAGGAUAAUGUAGGAGAUAUGAUUAACUAAGAUACCUAGAGAGAGAGAGAUAUGUAUAUAUCUCGGACCAUUACGCCUCAAUUCCCCACUGCACGCUCGCGCCGUAGGCCUCAUCCAUUGCUCCACGGUUGGUAGAGCAGAGGAGACCGUGGUGGGAGCUCCAUGCGAGCCGCUAGCUCGCCGACUUCCUCCUAUCUGCGAGGUGUGUUUCCGGUGGACUCCUCAGCUCUUGGGUCUCCAAAUGCUGGCCAGGUAGCAGCAGCCAGUGCUGUAGAAGCACCAAUGAGCUCCAUUGUUGGGGUAUGAGGAAGAACAAGAAGAUGGGCCAUUUGUUUUUGAGAGGAGAUUGCAAGCUUAGUUGAGGGUGGCAAGAAGACAGUAGAGAAAAGGGUGCUGCUGUUUAUAUAUACUCACACCGCCACACGGAGAGAGAGAGAGUGAGAGAAAGAGAGAGAGAGUGAGUGAGUGAGAGUUCAUUGUAGUAUUGUACCAUGGCACAGUACAUGCUAUGCCCAUUAUGGUUUUGUCUUGGUCCAUAUGCAAUGUCACAG